UGGGGAAUAUUGCACAAUGGGGGAAACCCUGAUGCAGCGACGCCGCGUGAGUGAAGAAGUAUUUCGGUAUGUAAAGCUCUAUCAGCAGGGAAGAAAAACAUGACGGUACCUGACUAAGAAGCCCCGGCUAACUCCGUGCCAGCAGCCGCGGUAAUACGGAGGAUGCGAGCGUUAUCCGGAUUUAUUGGGUUUAAAGGGUGCGCAGGCGGCGGAUCAAGUCAGCGGUCAAACUUCGGGGCUCAACCCCGUUUUGCCGUUGAAACUGAUCGGCUGGAGUCUGUUCGAGGGACGCGGAAUGCGAGGUGUAGCGGUGAAAUGCAUAGAUAUCACGCAGAACUCCGAUUGCGAAGGCAGCGUCCCGGGGCGGCACUGACGCUGAGGCACGAAAGUGUGGGUAUCGAACAGGAUUAGAUACCCUGGUAGU
rnacentral:rRNA from 1 species